CGCGUGGCGGGCGCGUUUAAGAGAAAGCUUUAGCUCGGGUGUUCCAAUCUAAAUACAUGUAAACGCAGUAUUCGUUUUUCUCGGCAACCACUGCACCAAAUUUGACGAGGUUUGUUACAUUUAAAACAAAAGCUUAGAAUCUAGAACUUCUACUGGGUACACAAAAGAUUUAAGCGAAACAACUGAAGCAAAGCGGGGCAUGGUGCUUUCAGUGCCCAAUUUUUUUUAUAGAACAUGUAGUUUUCAAUUAUAAAGGGGACUGUAAUGUGAUGUCUUUAAGUAGGGGGUUGUCUUAUAUUCAGAGUCGACUUAUGUUUCAAUAUGAACGGGAAUGAAGUAUUACGCAAUUCUAUUAACGAAAUUUACCUCUGCUGUUUAGUUUCCAUAUUGUGCGUAGAAGCAACAGUGCGUGCACUUUCAGCUGCUCAGUUUAUCUUCAAUGCUGCUCUCAUUUUGUAGAGUUCAUCACUUGUGCAUGUGCAACACAUUGGCGGAGGCAAUACGAACUGCAUUUCUCACUAGCUGGACAAGUCGGAAUGGCAAUGCACCUUGGAGAACAAGACUCGAAUUGUGAAAGUCUGGUGGUUUCACAGAACUUUGUUUUAUGUCAAGAUGGGCUGACACCAUGUCACCUGAUGCUGUCACUCUCUGUGACCUCAACGAGACAGCA
rnacentral:misc_RNA from 1 species